GUAAGUAGGUCUUAUCAUCCUCAUUUUAUGGAUGAUGUAGAACAAAUAGGUUACUUACAAAAAAUUAUAAAAUUACUAAGUGGUAGGAUGAAAAUUUCCAUCCAUGGAUGGAAUCAAGGUUCUUUCCAGUACUUUAUAUAGUCUUUUGUUCUUGAGAAAGGUGAGAUUCUCACUACCUAAUUGUAGCUCCAAUAAUAAGGGUAUCAUCCAUUCUAACUUCCCUCAAGAAAGCUAAAGGAUGCCUAAAAUAGCGACACCUAAUGGACAUAAGUUCAACCAACCUUCAGAAAUCUUGUCAACGCAGAGAUUCAUACAUCUACUAACUAAUCACAUUUGUUAUGUAGGUCAUGGUCUUUAUAUCUUCCUUUGUCUAACUAGAGACACCAGCAAGCAAAUAGAUAAAUUCAACACUGAAUAAAAGGAAAGAUGGUUAGAAAAGAAUACUGAAUACAUAACAAAAGGAAAGAGGUUGAGAAUGGCCUGCAAAGAUCAAGAUCAAGAUCAAGCAUAGCAGGGACAUCCUUUUGUAAUGACCAUGAUUUUGCAGCUCCUCUCAACAAGAAGGAAAAAAGCCAUCCAUGCUCCGGUCCAGAAGAACAUUUCUUAUUCUCUAUGUCUGAGCCCCAACCAUUACUAUGUUCUAGUACUUUGAGACAGGAGACUCUGAUCUAUUUAUAAAGACUCAUUAACCUCUACUUGUCCAAAGGCCAGCUCUGAGAUGUUGCAAACUAUCAGCCUGGAUUCCCAAGGAAUUUUUGUCUUAUCCUGCAGGUGAGAUCUCCAGGCCAGGGAGUUGAUCAGUGAGCACUGAAUGAGCAUCUAUUAUUUUCUGGGUAUAUAUAUAUAUCUCAUCAAGUGCAUCUUUUGAGGAGUAUCUACCAUUUGUGCAAUGUUGGCAAAUUUCAUGUCUACCACAAGAAAGCCAUUGGACUGAGGUAAAUUUCAUGCUGAUCAAGUCAACCCAAACCCAUGCCUUAAGGUUAAAAAUGGAAACCUAAGGAUAACCAGUCACAAACCACCAAGUAGACGUUCUUAAAUAAUAUAGCCACUUCAGCAAGAGGCCAUCAAAUGAUUUCCUUGAUUUGCUUCUUUAUUAAAUCUUUCCCCUAGUUCCUCUCAGUGGGACACUGCAAACCACUUCCGGUUUGGCUAUGCCUAAUUCGGAUGAAUUUUUGCUCAAAUAAA